CGGCUGAUUCAAUCUCAAGAACCAUUUUGAUUUUCAGAAAGUCUACUUUUUUGUGAUUUAGCUUAUCUUAAUGGUAGACAUUUCUAAUGAAAAUAGUAGAUGAGUCUUAUGUUAAAUGUAGACUUUGCAACUUUUACCUUCGGUUGAUUCAAUCUCAAGCACAAUUUUGAUUUCCAGAAAGUCUACUUUUUUGUGAUUUAGCUCAUCUAAAUGGUAGACAUUUAUAAUGAAAAUAAUAUAUGUGUCUUAUGUUAAAUGUGUCUUAUGACUUGCAAUAUUUUCUGUAAUAUUUUUCAUGACAGGAGUAGCUGUUUCUUAUGAUAGUUGUAGACAGUCUCAAGAAUCAUUUUGAUUUCCACAAAGUCUACUUUUGUGUGAUUUAGCUCAUCUGAAUGGUAGAUAUUUGGGAAAAUGCUCAUUUAGUACUAAUUUAAACCUCACAUUUCCCAUUCCAAUGAUAAUCUUUUUCACUAGCCAAUUUUAAUAUAAGGUAACAUUUUUUAUGCCCAAAUAUAUAAAUCUUUACUAAAGUCUUAACAAACCAUAUUAUUUUAAGACUAUUUUGCCCUCACCCCUUAAACAUGCAUAGAGAGAUAAAAUGGAAAAGAGAAUACUUAGCCGGAAUCUUACCGAACUCCGGUCACCGGCCGCUAGAUCCCGGUCACCGGUAACUCGGUUACUGACCCCCAAUAACUCAAAUUUUCUCUAAUCGUCGGAUUCCGGUCACCGGUAACUCGGUUACUGACCCCCAAUAAUCAGUUACUGACCCCCAAUAACUCAAAUUUUCUCUAAUCGUCGGAUUCCGGUCACCGGUAACUCGGUUAUUGACCCCUAAUAACUUGGUUACUGACCCCCAAUAACCAGAAACUGACCCCCAAUAAUCAGUUACUAACCCCCAAUAACCAGUUAUUGACCCCCAAUAAUCAGUUACUGACCCCCAAUAACUAGGUUACUGACCCUCAAUAAUCAGUUACUGACCCCCAAUAAUUAACAUAUUUCAGCUUAACGUAAUAGAAAAGAAGAUUUAUCAGAAAAUAAUCAAAUUACUAACCCUGAAAAUGCAACAUACCAUACUUAACUUCAAAAGACACCACAACAAUGCAACCUAGCUAUUCUCUUCAACCCCUAACCUCGGUCAAGAGCUGAGACUGAUUCCAGACGUUGGUGGAACCUUCUGCCAGAACUCAAGAACUGCAUAGCUACGAUCCUCAAUUUCCACACCAAAACCGCAUCUCACUUCCUGAUGUUGGACUACGUCGUCUUCCAGCCCAACGCUCUCUCGCUAGAUCCGGCCACCAAUCUCCAAUCCCUCUUCACGCGCCUGGCUCGCCGAUUUGGAUCUAGAAACUACCUACAACGUCGUUCACCGCAGCCUAUGUAGUGGAGUGAUCUGUGAAGUGAUGUAGCCGGUUCAGAAUCCGGUGAGAUAUUGGUGAUCGAAAUGACGUCGUUGCAGAGGUCGCCGUCUUCGCUUCCGGUCUUUCUUUGCAGGAGAUCGGCGCUAGAGGGAAGGAUCUAAAUCGGUGAUCUACAUGAAUGGGUGAGAGAGAGACGAAUUUCUCUGACUUUGUCCUCCGUAUCGCUUUUGUAAACUCCAAACCCAAGUCCGAGUCCAAUUCCGAGCCGGAGUCCAAGAUCGCCGGUGCUCA
rnacentral:lncRNA from 1 species